GACAGAGGGUGCAAGCGUUGUUCGGAAUUACUGGGCGUAAAGCGCGUGUAGGCGGCUCGGUAAGUCGGAUGUGAAAGCCCUGGGCUUAACCUAGGAAGUGCAUUCGAAACUCCCGAGCUUGAGUUCUGGAGAGGAAGGCGGAAUUCUCGGUGUAGAGGUGAAAUUCGUAGAUAUCGGGAGGAACACCGGUGGCGAAGGCGGCCUUCUGGACAGUGACUGACGCUGAGACGCGAAAGCGUGGGGAGCAAACAGG
rnacentral:rRNA from 1 species